CCCGCCCAAUUGGGGCUGGACACACUGCUGAAGCGGGCAGCUAGUGAAGAAAUCCCCUUCUUCCCCCUGGUCAUGUACCUGAUGCAGGUGCUGUGUUCAACCCGUCUUCAAGAGGAAACCAACCACCACCCACCCACACACACCCACACACACUUCUUGGCGGGAUGAGACCGGGCCAGAGAAGGGAGCACUGGCCACUGGCUGCUGCCCCCUCAGAAGUCUCCGGGCUGACUGCUGGAUUUUGGUUGUAACCUACACCUGGCUGCCUGCCCAACAGGCUUGGAGACCCACUGCUCCGCCUGUGUACCCAGAGAACACCUCCGCCUUGACAGUAUGGUCUCAACACAAAACAGCCAGUGUUACUUAUGGACUGGUAUUUAUGAUGAUUCCAUGAGGCACCCAAGAAACCAGCUCCACCUCUCCCGGUUACCAAGAGGAAUUGUGAAUUGCUUUUUGGCUCCAGAGGCUGGUCUCCGGGAAGGUGUCGGGGUGUAAGUGUGUGAUCUGAUCCCUCCCUAAAGACUCCACUAGAACUAGUCAAACAAUUUCCAUCCAAGAGUCCAAGAGUUGUUGACAGAAAAUGGUUAUUUUGUUGAUGUGGAAACUUCCAGGGGAAAUGUCCUGUUUUUGUCAAUAA